AUGCUGGAGGUAUCAGAAGUGCGAAUGCUGACAUAAGUAACGAUAAAGCGGGUGAAAAGCCCGCUCGCCGGAAGACCAAGGGUUCCUGUCCAACGUUAAUCGGGGCAGGGUGAGUCGACCCCUAAGGCGAGGCCGAAAGGCGUAGUCGAUGGGAAACAGGUUAAUAUUCCUGUACUUGGUGUUACUGCGAAGGGGGGACGGAGAAGGCUAUGUUGGCCGGGCGACGGUUGUCCCGGUUUAAGCGUGUAGGCUGGUUUUCCAGGCAAAUCCGGAAAAUCAAGGCUGAGGCGUGAUGACGAGGCACUACGGUGCUGAAGCAACAAAUGCCCUGCUUCCAGGAAAAGCCUCUAAGCAUCAGGUAACAUCAAAUCGUACCCCAAACCGACACAGGUGGUCAGGUAGAGAAUACCAAGGCGCUUGAGAGAACUCGGGUGAAGGAACUAGGCAAAAUGGUGCCGUAACUUCGGGAGAAGGCACGCUGAUAUGUAGGUGAAGUCCCUCGCGGAUGGAGCUGAAAUCAGUCGAAGAUACCAGCUGGCUGCAACUGUUUAUUAAAAACACAGCACUGUGCAAACACGAAAGUGGACGUAUACGGUGUGACGCCUGCCCGGUGCCGGAAGGUUAAUUGAUGGGGUUAGCGGUAACGCGAAGCUCUUGAUCGAAGCCCCGGUAAACGGCGGCCGUAACUAUAACGGUCCUAAGGUAGCGAAAUUCCUUGUCGGGUAAGUUCCGACCUGCACGAAUGGCGUAAUGAUGGCCAGGCUGUCUCCACCCGAGACUCAGUGAAAUUGAACUCGCUGUGAAGAUGCAGUGUACCCGCGGCAAGACGGAAAGACCCCGUGAACCUUUACUAUAGCUUGACACUGAACAUUGAGCCUUGAUGUGUAGGAUAGGUGGGAGGCUUUGAAGUGUGGACGCCAGUCUGCAUGGAGCCGACCUUGAAAUACCACCCUUUAAUGUUUGAUGUUCUAACGUUGACCCGUAAUCCGGGUUGCGGACAGUGUCUGGUGGGUAGUUUGACUGGGGCGGUCUCCUCCUAAAGAGUAACGGAGGAGCACGAAGGUUGGCUAAUCCUGGUCGGACAUCAGGAGGUUAGUGCAAUGGCAUAAGCCAGCUUGACUGCGAGCGUGACGGCGCGAGCAGGUGCGAAAGCAGGUCAUAGUGAUCCGGUGGUUCUGAAUGGAAGGGCCAUCGCUCAACGGAUAAAAGGUACUCCGGGGAUAACAGGCUGAUACCGCCCAAGAGUUCAUAUCGACGGCGGUGUUUGGCACCUCGAUGUCGGCUCAUCACAUCCUGGGGCUGAAGUAGGUCCCAAGGGUAUGGCUGUUCGCCAUUUAAAGUGGUACGCGAGCUGGGUUUAGAACGUCGUGAGACAGUUCGGUCCCUAUCUGCCGUGGGCGCUGGAGAACUGAGGGGGGCUGCUCCUAGUACGAGAGGACCGGAGUGGACGCAUCACUGGUGUUCGGGUUGUCAUGCCAAUGGCACUGCCCGGUAGCUAAAUGCGGAAGAGAUAAGUGCUGAAAGCAUCUAAGCACGAAACUUGCCCCGAGAUGAGUUCUCCCUGACCCUUUAAGGGUCCUGAAGGAACGUUGAAGACGACGACGUUGAUAGGCCGGGUGUGUAAGCGCAGCGAUGCGUUGAGCUAACCGGUACUAAUGAACCGUGAGGCUUAACCUUACAACGCCGAAG
rnacentral:rRNA from 1 species